UGAGGAAUAUUGGUCAAUGGGCGAGAGCCUGAACCAGCCAAGUAGCGUGCAGGAAGACGGCCCUAUGGGUUGUAAACUGCUUUUAUAUGGGGAUAAAGUGAGUUACGUGUAGCUUAUUGCAGGUACCAUAUGAAUAAGGACCGGCUAAUUCCGUGCCAGCAGCCGCGGUAAUACGGAAGGUCCAGGCGUUAUCCGGAUUUAUUGGGUUUAAAGGGAGCGUAGGCCGCCCCUUAAGCGUGUUGUGAAAUGCCGCGGCUCAACCGUGGCACUGCAGCGCGAACUGGGGGGCUUGAGUGCACGCAACGCAGGCGGAAUUCGUGGUGUAGCGGUGAAAUGCUUAGAUAUCACGAAGAACUCCGAUUGCGAAGGCAGCUUGCGGGAGUGCGACUGACGCUGAAGCUCGAAGGUGCGGGUAUCGAACA
rnacentral:rRNA from 1 species